rnacentral:rRNA from 1 species
GAACUUAAGCAUAUCAAUAAGCGGAGGAAAAGAAACCAACAGGGAUUGCCUCAGUAACGGCGAGUGAAGCGGCAACAGCUCAAAUUUGAAAUCUGGCCUCCUCCGGGGGUCCGAGUUGUAAUUUGCAGAGGAUGCUUCGGGUUCGGCCACGGUCUAAGUUCCUUGGAACAGGACGUCAUGGAGGGUGAGAAUCCCGUGUGGGACCGCCGGCCACGCCCGUGUGAAGCNCCUUCGACGAGUCGAGUUGUUUGGGAAUGCAGCUCAAAACGGGUGGUAAAUUUCAUCUAAAGCUAAAUACCGGCCAGAGACCGAUAGCGCACAAGUAGAGUGAUCGAAAGAUGAAAAGCACUUUGGAAAGAGAGUUAAAAAGCAUGUGAAAUUGUUGAAAGGGAAGCGCUUGCGGCCAGACUUGUCUCCGGGUGUUCAACCGGCGUUUUCGCCGGCGCACUCGCCCGGGGCCAGGCCAGCAUCGGUUCAGGUGGCCGGACAAAGGCCCCCGGAAUGUGGCUCCCCUCGGGGAGCGUUAUAGCCGGGGGUGCAAUGCGGCCCGCCGGGACCGAGGAACGCGNUUCNGCUCGAUGCUGC